rnacentral:lncRNA from 1 species
AAAAAAAAAAAAAAAAAAAUGUAAAAAAAAUAAAAUAACAAAAAAUAAUAUGAAAACAAAAUUGUAAUCAGAGUUCUACAUAAUAAAAAGUUUAAAGAUGGGGUCAACAGUUAGCAUACUUUGAAUUUCUUUUUUAUCCUCUUGUCAUUGCAGGCUUCAAAAUUGUUUAAUUCUUUUAAUUUUAGAUAUUUUGGAUAAAUCAUACCUUCUAUGUAAUUUACACAAUGACAGUGUCAUAAAUUUUGCAGCAUUCUGAUUUUGAAUGGGUAUUUGUAUACCUCAAACCCUAAACAUUUGAUUUGCAUUCAGUAUUAAAAUAGUAUUU